rnacentral:rRNA from 1 species
CCUACGGGGGGCAGCAGUAGGGAAUCUUCCGCAAUGGACGAAAGUCUGACGGAGCAACGCCGCGUGAGUGACGAAGGUUUUCGGACUGUAAAACUCUGUUGCCGGGAACGAAGGGCUGCAGGCGGAAAUGUCUGCGGCAUGACGGUACCCGAGAAGAAAGCCCCGGCUAACUACGUGCCAGCAGCCGCGGUAAUACGUAGGGGGCAAGCGUUGUCCGGAAUUAUUGGGCGUAAAGCGCGCGCAGGCGGUUUCUUAAGUCCGGUGUGAAAUGUGGGGGCUCAACCCCGGCAUGCACCGGAAACUGGGAGGCUGGAGUGCAGAAGAGGAGAGUGGAAUUCCACGUGUAGCGGUGAAAUGCGUAGAGAUGUGGAGGAACACCAGUGGCGAAGGCGACUCUCUGGUCUGUAACUGACGCUGAGGCGCGAAAGCGUGGGGAGCAAACAGGAUUAGAUACCCUAGUAGUC